GGCCCGCUAGCUCAAUGGCAGAGCAACUGACUCUUAAUCAGUGGGUUCGGGGUUCGAGUCCCUGGCGGGUCACCA
rnacentral:tRNA from 1 species